rnacentral:misc_RNA from 1 species
GGACCGGAAAACUUUUAUUUCUUGGAAUCCGAAAUAAAUACUGCAGCUUUUGUGCAUACGCCAGUGCCAAAAACAUGGAAGUCAUUCCAGAUCAUACAUGUUAUAAGAACUGGUCAAAUACAUCCACAAGUAUGGAAUCCGACAUAAUUGUGGAAGGAUUUCGAAAAAGUAUUGACAUGUAUAAUAUUAUUUAUAAAAGACUUGUUGGGGAUGGUGACAGUAGCGUCUAUAAAAAACUGAUCGAGGCUCGCCCAUAUGGAAGUUUACAUGUGGAGAAAAUUGAGUGCAGGAAUCAUUUAUUAAGAAAUUUUUGCUCCAAAUUGCGUGAAAUAUCUAGUAAAAAAAGAAGCAACAGUACAAAUAAUCCGGUUUCACCAUACCUGCGCAAACAUAUUUUGAACAAUAUACGAAGGAUGAGAACUGCUGUUGCAAUGGCUGUUACUCAAAGAAAUAAAGAAGAUAAAAGCUUUAGUAUUAAAAUAGAAAAUCUUACUAAAGAUUUAAAAAAUAUACCAUCCCACGUAUUUGGAGAGCAUCUAAACUGUACAGCCAUAGGAUAUUUUAGAUGUGAUAAAAAGUUUGGAGAAAAAAAUUAUAUUGAAGAAAUGAAGGCAUGUGGGGUUUUGCAAGACAUUGAAGUUUGUCUAAAUAGACUCAUAUUGCAUGCUUCCAGUUUGUUAAGAAAUAUGGACAAUAAUGUAGCUGAACAUUAUAACUCUGUGGUAUGCAAGUUUAUUGGCGGAAAGCGCAUCAAUUUUUCAAAAAGAGGGUCUUAUCAAAUACGGUGUGAAGCUGCAGCCCUAUCUUAUAAUCUUGGAAGCGGAGAAUACCACAGACAAAUUUUUAAAUCAAUUGCUGAAAAAAGUCCUUCUGGUCAUACAAAAAAAUUUAUUAAUAGAGUUAAACAAAGACGUAUUAAUACCCUUAAAAUAAGACCAAAAACCCUAUUUAAAAAACGAAAUAAAUCAAUUGCGCUUCCUGAUAAAGAUUAUGGGGAUCAGGAGGCAGAUAAUAGCAUACAGCCAGACAUGGAAGAAAAUUUAUUUGAAGAAAAAAAAAGGAAUUUUUAGAAGAACUCGAAAAAAAUGAAAAUGAGAUUAAGGAUUUAGAGAUUAGUACCAGAGGACAAGGAGAAAAUCCAAAGUGGUAUCAAGAAAGGAGUUUAAGGCUUACAGCAUCAAAUUUUGGAAAUAUUUGCAAAAUGCUAGAAAAAACAAAUUGCAAAAAUAAAGUAAAAGCAAUUCUUUAUUCCAAGUUUCGGGGCAAUAAACACACUAAGUAUGGCACCGAAAAAGAACCAUUUGCUAUUCAACAAUUUGAGGAAACCUACAAUUUAAAAGUUGAAAUGUGUGGUCUUUUUAUUGAUUCCGAAUGUUGUGCUUUGGCUGCUAGCCCUGAUGGGCUAGUUGGCUCAAGAGGAUUAGUAGAAGUAAAGUGCCCAUCAACAGCUUCAGCAAUCAGCCCUACAGAAGCUAUCAAUAAAAAAAUAAUCAAGUUUGCCACCCUUGAUGAAAAUGGACAGAUGCAUUUAAAACAGAACCAUGAUUAUUUUUAUCAAAUCCAAGGCCAGCUUCAUAUCACAAAAAGAGAUUUUUGUUAUUUUAUUUUAUGGACACCUAUGGGGAUGCUGGUAGAACAGAUUUGGCGGCAGGACUCAUUCUGGAAUGACAAAAUGAUAGGAAAAUUAAAAAGUUUCUAUUACAAUUGUUUAUUACCGGAAAUUAUCGACCCGCGAUAUAGUAGAGGACUGGAAAUAAGAAAUCCAUCGAGAAAAUAACAACAUUUUAAUUUUAAAAUAGGUAUAUUAAUAGAUUUUUGCAAAUAUAAAACUGUACUUUUUAAAAUAAAAUUUAAAAUAUAAGUAUGUAUAUAAUUGUUUUUUCAAUAAGAUUAGGGUAAAAUGUAUAACAGUUCAAAAAAAAUGUUUAAAAAAAAACAAUUAUACAUAGAUUUUGUAUAAAAAAUGUAUAUUUUUUUAAAAAUGCCUCUUAAAAACUCCCCCGUACAUCAUUAACAAAAAGUCUCGCAAAAAGUUUAAUAAUAAUUGUAGCAAAAAAAAAAUUAUAUGAAAUAGGAUCGAGCACCCCAUUUCAAAGAAAAAUUUUGCCAAUAAUCGACAAUCGUAAUGUCUCAUUAUUCAAGUUUCAUAAUUCCCUGCGCCAUGCUAUUCCAUCCUCACCAGAUUUAUAUGACACGCGAGAACCUAUCGGUUUGGUCGCCGCUUUGAAAUGACCCCUUCCCUUCAUCCUUCCGCUGAGUGUUGCCAUAUGUUGGGUGAGCCAAAAAAUCGCCUAUAUUUUGAAAUCCGAGUUGGUCACGUGCUGAU